GAUCCUGGCUCAGGAUGAACGCUAGCUACAGGCUUAACACAUGCAAGUCGAGGGGCAGCAUGAACUUAGCUUGCUAAGUUUGAUGGCGACCGGCGCACGGGUGAGUAACACGUAUCCAACCUGCCGAUGACUCGGGGAUAGCCUUUCGAAAGAAAGAUUAAUACCCGAUGGCAUAAUUCUUCCGCAUGGUAGAACUAUUAAAGAAUUUCGGUCAUCGAUGGGAUGCGGUUCCUAUUAGG
rnacentral:rRNA from 1 species